rnacentral:lncRNA from 1 species
AGCUCCAAGUCGACCCCUAGCCUGGGAACCUCCAUAUGCCGCAGGUGUGGCCCUAAAAAAAAAGAGACCCUUUCCUUCCAGCCCCCCUGCCCCUGCUGUGCUGGUGGGCAGCCCUCUUCAGCCCAGCCCCUGCUGCUGCAUGCUCCCUGUUCUUUGUUCCUAUACACCCUCUCCCUGCAGCCUAAGUCUCAUUUCCAAACACCUAAUUGAUUGGAGUUUUCCAUCUUUUCCAAGGCUCCCUCUGCUCUCAGGAUAAAGCACACAUUCCUUUGGGUGACCUCCAAGGUCCCAUACAGACAGCCCUCUGAAGCCCUCACCACCCUCACCACUCCAUCCUUUGGAACUUCUGCUCCAGCCUGAGGGAACUGCUGCAAUUCCUGAAACCCUCUCCUGGUUCGAUGGCUCUGGACUUUUCCCCAUGCCCAGGACACCCUCCCACCUCCUUUCCAAACCCUCGCACAGACUCCUACACAUCCUUCAAGGCCCAUCUUAAUCACCACCCUCUCUGAGAAGCCCCCCAUGAAUUUGGCACCCCUCUGCCCCCCAGGUCCCUGGGCAUCCUGCAGACCAUGCCCCGGUUACAUUCUGUUGCAUGUCACUUUUUCUUCCCUCUUUGACGGUGGCUGCUGAAGCCAGAUGGCACACUGGGCAUGUGACCGCAGUGCCCUUUACCUAACCCACACUUGUGGGUAAGUGGCCUCCCAAGGGCAACUGGGGCAAAGUCGUUUCCCCCCUGCCCAACCCCCUGCCCUGGGCUGCAAGGUCUGCUGAUAAAAGCUUCAGCCUUAGUCUUGAGAGAGGGAAGCCAGGUGGGUCAGUCUGGGACACCAGAGAGUGAUGUAGAUUUGGACUGUGGACUGAAGGCAGAAGGGUCAUCAUGUGGAAUAUACUUAACCCAGAAUUAUUUAUAAAAGUCCUUGCAAUUCUAAAGAGAGGCUGACCUAAAAAUAUGUCAUUGAAAUCUCCAGCCGAGGAGCUGAUCUGCUUGGCUUGUCCCAGCCCGGCUUGGAGGGCCACAGACCUCGGCUGCCUAUGAUCAGACCUGGCUGCAACUCUUGCCAGAGCCUUGGCUCUGGCUUUAUUGCCAAAUAGAGUCUCUUAAAGGAGGAGUGGUGGAGUUCCUGUCGGGGUACAGUGGAAAUGAAUCUGACUAGUAUCCAUGAGGUUGCUGGUUCAAUCCCUGGCCUCGCGCAUGGGUUAAGGAUCUGGCAUUGCCGUGAGCUGUGGUGUAGGUCGCAGACGUGGCUCGGAUCCUGCGUUGCUCUGGCUCUGGCGUAGGCCAGUGGCUACAGCUCCAAUUGGACCCCUAGCCUGGGAACCUCCAUAUGCCUCGGGAGCGACCCAAAGACGUAGCAAAAAGACAAAAAAAAAAAAAAAAAAAAAAAA